rnacentral:misc_RNA from 1 species
GGAUGGAUCAUUAACAAAGUUAAUAAACUAAUAACCAACUGACUCUUAUAGAGGGCUUGCUCUCUAUACUUGAACUUUUAUUUAAACCUCAUAAACAAAUCAAUGGUUGAUAUUUAAAUUUUCAACGAUGGAUGUCUUGGCUCCCAUAUCGAUGAAGAACGCAGCUAGAAUGCGAUAUGCAAUGUGAAUUGCAGAACCACGAAUCAUCGGAUCUUUGAACGCAACUGGCGCUGAUAUAAUCAGCAUACUUGUUUCAGUGUGCGCAACCAAAUCUAAACAAUAAUGUGAGAGAACAUCUCUCAUCAAGUAUAUGCUCUCUGCAGCAGUCACAUUUAUUUGUGAGCUGAAGAAGAGUUAUUUGUCUUAUUUGCACCUGAAAUCAAGUAAGAUCACCCGCUGGACUUAAGCAUAUUACUAAGCGGAGGAGAAGAAAUUAACUAAGAUUGCCUUAGUAAGGGCGACUGAACCGGCAAAAGCUCAAAAUUGGAAUCGAAAGUUCAAAGAACUUCCGAAUUGUAAUCAAACAGGGCCUAAAUACGAGGAUUGGAUUAAUUACGUCGAAACGUAUUGCCAUGGAGGGUGACAGCCCCGUGUUUCCUUUCCUCGAGUAAGGUCAUGUAAACAAGAGUCGGGUUGCUUGGAACUGCAGCCCUAAGUGGGAGAUAUGAAUCUUCCAAAGCUAAAUAUGGAUGGGAGACCGAUAGCGAACAAGUACUGUGAAGGAAAGAUGAAAAGGACUUUGAAAAGAGAGUGAAAAGAUCUGAAAUCGUUGAGAAGGAA